CCAAUGUGAACCAUACCAAACUGUUGCCUCGGCGGGGUCACGCCCCGGGUGCGUCGCAGCCCCGGAACCAGGCGCCCGCCGGAGGGACCAACCAAACUCUUUCUGUAGUCCCCUCGCGGACGUUAUUUCUUACAGCUCUGAGCAAAAAUUCCAAAAUGAAUCAAAACUUUCAACAACGGAUCUCUUGGUUCUGGCAUCGAUGAAGAACGCAGCGAAAUGCGAUAAGUAAUGUGAAUUGCAGAAUUCAGUGAAUCAUCGAAUCUUUGAACGCACAUUGCGCCCGCCAGUAUUCUGGCGGGCAUGCCUGUCCGAGCGUCAUUUCAACCCUCGAACCCCUCCGGGGGUCCGGCGUUGGGGAUCGGGAACCCCUAAGACGGGAUCCCGGCCCCGAAAUACAGUGGCGGUCUCGCCGCAGCCUCUCAUGCGCAGUAGUUUGCACAACUCGCACCGGGAGCGCGGCGCGUCCACGUCCGUAAAACACCCAACUUCUGAAAUGUUGACCUCGGAUCAGGUAGGAAUACCCGCUGAACUUAAGCAUAUCAAUAAGCG
rnacentral:rRNA from 1 species